CAGUCGCCGCGGGAAUACGAAGGGUGCAAGUGUUAAUCGGAAUUACUGGGCGUAAAGCGUGCGUAGGCGGUUUGUUAGGUCUGUUGUGAAAUCCCCGGGCUCAACCUGGGAAUGGCAAUGGAUACUGGCAAGCUAGAGUGUGUCAGAGGAUGGUGGAAUUCCCGGUGUAGCGGUGAAAUGCGUAGAGAUCGGGAGGAACAUCAGUGGCGAAGGCGGCCAUCUGGGACAACACUGACGCUGAGGCACGAAAGCGUGGGGAGCAAACAGGAUUAGAUACCCCCGUAGUCCCUGUCUCUUAUAC
rnacentral:rRNA from 1 species